AACAAGCCGUUAACGAGCCCGCAGGCUUCCCCGACUGCGGAGGGGUGCGCGACACACCCGCACAGUGACAAGCCCCUGGUCCCAUGGUCCAGUACUCUCCCUGAAUCCCAGAUCCAGAGCUGGACUGGCCAGAGCCCCCCAAUCCAACCCCCUUGUCCUUUAAGUGAGCAAGCCGGGGCCCAAAAUCGCCCAGGUAGGAGGUGUCCGAGGCAGGAUUCGAAUGCACGUCCUCGGACCUCAGAGCUGGUGCUUUUCACAGAUGAGGACAUGCAAGGAGAGGGGAAGAGGGCCUGAGCACAGAUGAUAGAAAUCCUCUGCUCAAAAAGUACAGCCAACCAAAGAAGGGUCAAAUUACUGUUGAGUCACUCUGCAUUAAGGAAAAACCAGCCUAAGGUACAGUAAUCACUCGAAAGUGUUUGGAGCAAUUAUCCACACAGGAAACUCCAAGUAAAUGAAGAAUGUUUAGUCUAAACUAUGAAAGUUGGAUGGACAACUCAAAGCUAAUUAAUUAAUCGAUACAUCUAUCUAGGACAAACAUUGCAAAGGGACAACGAACUGAGCUCAUUGUUGGAGAGAAUCCCCACCUCAAUGAAAUCACAGAUCCUCCAAAAUACCCAGCUGUGUGCUUUGGCAGAGAGAGAACUCCAGCAAAUGAUAAAAUAAAACUUAUCUAUUUUUUCCUUCUU